CAUGCCCAUCAGGCCCCCGAUCCGCGCCGCCAUAAAUAGCCCCCGCCUGGCUCGCCCGUUUCUUUGUGCGGUGGGUGCCGGCUCUGCUGUGUGCUGUUGUUCCGCGAUGGAGGAUGGGGCAGGCCGGUGGCCCGCCUCGGCGCAGACUCGCUUGCAUAGGUUCCUGGUGCGUGCCGGCCGCUCCGCAGCGACGUGAUAGCCGGGGGUGUGAGGCGGCCCCCGGUGUUACCAGUGCGAAAAGGAUGAGAGCUUUGGAGACAGCCAGGGGCGGUGCCCCCUGACAGACCGCGGAGGCCUCAGUUGUAGCUGGGCUGACUGAUGGUUCUGUUCCUGCUGCUUCGUCCCUGGGCUGUGACGAGUGCGGAGCGGGCCCUCUGAGUGCAGUGGAGUUUGCUGACAAGGAUGGGGCAGACCAUAGGAACUCAGCGUCUUUGGCGUUUUCCUGAGCGACCAUCAACAAAUGCAAAAAUAAUAGAAAUUUUGAGGCCCCUGCAUGUCAGCUGGAAAGGUUAUGACUACUAAUUUUGUCAAAAGAAUUUCAAUAAAAUAAGUAAAACAAGUAA